rnacentral:rRNA from 1 species
CCCAGACUCCUACGGGAGGCAGCAGUGGGGGAUAUUGCACAAUGGGGGAAACCCUGAUGCAGCGACGCCGCGUGAGUGAAGAAGUAUUUCGGUAUGUAAAGCUCUAUCAGCAGGGAAGAAAAAAGACGGUACCUGACUAAGAAGCCCCGGCUAACUACGUGCCAGCAGCCGCGGUAAUACGUAGGGGGCAAGCGUUAUCCGGAUUUACUGGGUGUAAAGGGAGCGUAGACGGCAAUACAAGUCGGAAGUGAAAUACCCGGGCUCAACCUGGGAACUGCUUUGGAAACUGUAUGGCUGGAGUGCUGGAGAGGUAAGCGGAAUUCCUAGUGUAGCGGUGAAAUGCGUAGAUAUUAGGAGGAACACCAGUGGCGAAGGCGGCUUACUGGACUGCAACUGACGUUGAGGCCCGAAAGCGUGGGGAGCAAACAGGAUUAGAUACCCUGUAUU